rnacentral:rRNA from 1 species
GAUGAACGCUAGCGGCAGGCCUAAUACAUGCAAGUCGAACGGGAUCCAGAUCAAAGCUUGCUUUGGUUUGGUGAGAGUGGCGCACGGGUGCGUAACGCGUGAGCAACCUACCCUUGUCAGGGGGAUAGCCCGGCGAAAGUCGGAUUAAUACCGCAUGACAUCAUUGAGAGGCAUCUUUCGAUGAUCAAAGAUUUAUCGGACAAGGAUGGGCUCGCGUGACAUUAGCUAGUUGGUAAGGUAACGGCUUACCAAGGCUACGAUGUCUAGGGGCUCUGAGGGGAGCAUCCCCCACACGGGUACUGGCACACGGACCACUGACCUACGGCAGGCAGCAGUAAGGAAUAUUGGUCAAUGGACGGUAGUCUGAACCAGCCAUGCCGCGUGCAGGAAGACCGCCCUAUGGGUGGUAAACUGCUUUUAUACGGGAACAAACGUCGGUACGGGUACCGGUCUGAGUGUACCGUAAGAAUAAGGAUCGGCUAACUCCGUG